rnacentral:rRNA from 1 species
GAACGCUGGCGGCGUGCUUAACACAUGCAAGUCGAACGAACCUUCGGGUUAGUGGCGGACGGGUGAGUAACGCGUGAGAAUCUGCCCUCAGGAGGGGGAUAACGGUUGGAAACGACCGCUAAUACCCCAUAUGCCGAGAGGUGAAAAGAAAUUCGCCUGAGGAUGAGCUCGCGUCNGAUUAGCUUUUUUUCUCCUAAUGGCGCAGCAAAGCUUCGAUCAGUAGCUGGUCUGAGAGGAUGAUCA